CUCUUUAGCUUGGCAUUUGAAUCGGCUUUGCUGUUGCGAAGUAGAGUGGCGGCUUCGGCUGCCGAGGGUCGAUCCAUUGGGAAUGUGUGUACUUCGUAUGCAUCUCAUUGGACUGAUAUCAGCAGAUUACCGCUGAACUAAGACAUAUUAAUAAGCGGAGAAAGAAACUAACAGAUUUCCCUGAGUAACGGCGAGUGAAAGCGGGAAGAGCUCAAGCUUAAAAUCUCCGUGCAAGUUUUGCGCGGGGAAUUGUAGUCUAUAGAGGCGUGAUCAGUGUGGGCGCUUGGGGCAAGUUCCCUUGGAAGAGGACAGCAUGGAGGGUGAUACUCCCGUUCAUCCCUGAGUUGCUCGUGCGUACGAUCCGUUUUCUUUGAGUCGCGUUGUUUGGGAAUGCAGCGCAAAGUAGGUGGUAAAUUCCAUCUAAAGCUAAAUAUUGGUGCGAGACCGAUAGCGAACAAGUACCGUGAGGGAAAGAUGAAAAGAACUUUGAAAAGAGAGUUAAAGAGUACCUGAAACUGCUGAAAGGGAACCGAAUCGUUUCCAGUGUCUAUAAUCCGUGGUAUAUUUCAUUGGCGAGUGUGUGCGUGCGUGUGCUGUGGCAGCGGCUUUUUUGGCUGCGCUCGGCGUGUGUGCUGUGUGUGCUUGCUGGUGCCCUGUGCUGCGGUGGGACGUCAAGGUCAGUUCGUAUGCUGCGGGAAAUGGCCGCCGAGGAGGUAGGGCUUACGCUUGCGUUUGUCUGUUAUAUCUUGGUGGACGAGUAGUCGCGGUUGGGACUGAGGUGCCUACAACGUGUUUUUGAGUGGGCCUGUGUCUCUGUGUGCGCCGUGUGCGGAUAGCUUGCUAUGCGUGUGUGGUUGUGUGUGGAUUGAUGUGGGUUUUAACUUGUUGCCGUUCGGGACGUUGACGAAAUGGAGCGAUUUGACCCGUCUUGAAACACGGACCAAGGAGUCUAACAUGUGUGCAAGUGUUAGGGUGUGGAAACCCCAGCGCGAAAUGAAAGUGAAGGGCAGCGUAAGUUGUCUGAGGUAGGAAAUGCUGCGGGCUUCGGUCUACGGUGUGGCACUAUCGACCGAUCAUGAACCUUCGUGGUG
rnacentral:rRNA from 1 species